UAAAGGUAUUCCGGUAGACGAUGGGGAUGCGUUCCAUUAGAUAGUAGGCGGGGUAACGGCCCACCUAGUCUUCGAUGGAUAGGGGUUCUGAGAGGAAGGUCCCCCACAUUGGAACUGAGACACGGUCCAAACUCCUACGGGAGGCAGCAGUGAGGAAUAUUGGUCAAUGGGCGAGAGCCUGAACCAGCCAAGUAGCGUGAAGGAUGACUGCCCUAUGGGUUGUAAACUUCUUUUAUAAAGGAAUAAAGUCGGGUAUGCAUACCCGUUUGCAUGUACUUUAUGAAUAAGGAUCGGCUAACUCCGUGCCAGCAGCCGCGGUAAUACGGAGGAUCCGAGCGUUAUCCGGAUUUAUUGGGUUUAAAGGGAGCGUAGAUGGAUGUUUAAGUCAGUUGUGAAAGUUUGCGGCUCAACCGUAAAAUUGCAGUUGAUACUGGAUAUCUUGAGUGCAGUUGAGGCAGGCGGAAUUCGUGGUGUAGCGGUGAAAUGCUUAGAUAUCACGAGGAACUCCGAUUGCGAAGGCAGCCUGCUAAGCUGCAACUGACAUUGAGGCUCGAAAGUGUGGGUAUCAAACAGGAUUAGAUACCCUGGUAGUCCACACGGUAAACGAUGAAUACUCG
rnacentral:rRNA from 1 species